UGACACAAGAAGAGUUGUAGCUGGUC
rnacentral:piRNA from 1 species